UAUGGCCACAUCAUGUUGAAAUACCACUUCCCACAUACGAUCAUGGAAGUUAAGCAUCAUCAAGUUUGGUCAGUAUCUAGAUGGGUCACCACUUGGGAAUACCAGGUGCUGUAAG